GACGAACGCUGGCGGCGUGCCUAAUACAUGCAAGUCGAACGCACAGUUUAUACCGUAGCUUGCUACACCAUAGACUGUGAGUUGCGAACGGGUGAGUAACGCGUAGGUAACCUGCCUGGUAGCGGGGGAUAACUAUUGGAAACGAUAGCUAAUACCGCAUAAUAUUGAUUAUUGCAUGAUAAUUAAUUGAAAGGUGCAAUUGCACCACUACCAGAUGGACCUUCGUUGUAUUAGCUAGUAGGUGAGGUAACGGCUCACCUAGGCGAGGAUACAUAGCCGACCGGAGAGGGUGGGCGGCCACACUGGGACGGAGACACGGCACAGACGCCUACGGGAGGCAGCAGGAGGGAAUCUUCGGCAAGGGACGAAAGUCUGACCGAGAAACGCCGCGGGAGUGAAGAAGGAUGUCGGAUCGGAAAGCUCGGUUGUAAGAGAAGAACGGGUGUGAGAGUGGAAAGUUCACAGUGUGACGGUAUCUGACCAGAAAGGGACGGCUAACUACGUG
rnacentral:rRNA from 1 species